GACGAACGCUGGCGGCGUGCUUAACACAUGCAAGUGGAGCGACGAACCAGGCUUCGGCCUGGGGCAGAGCCGCGAACGGGUGAGUAACACGUGGGUAACGUGCCCCGAUGACCGGGCCAACCCGGGGAAACCCGGGCUAAUACCGGAUGUGCCCUCCUCACACCAGUGAGACGGGGAAAGGAAGCUUCGGCCUCCGCAUCGGGAUCGGCCCGCGGCCCAUUAGCUUGUUGGUGAGGUAAGAGCUCACCAAGGCUGCGAUGGGUAGCUGGUCUGAGAGGACGAUCAGCCACACUGGGACUGAGACACGGCCCAGACUCCUACGGGAGGCAGCAGUGGGGAAUCUUGCGCAAUGCGCGACAGCGUGACGCAGCAACGCCGCGUGGGGGAAGAAGGCCUUCGGGUUGUAAACCCCUUUCAGGAGGGACGAAGCCCGGGCCGUUAAUAGCGGUCCCGGGUGACGGUACCUCCACAAGAAGCCCCGGCUAACUACGUGCCAGCCGCCGCAGUAACAC
rnacentral:rRNA from 1 species